UGUGGGAUAUAUAUCGCAGCAAUAGGGGGAGAACGCCUGAUGCAGCAACGCCGCGUGAGCGAUGAAGGCCUUCGGGUUGUAAAGCUCUGUCUUCUCUGACGAUCAUGACCGUAACUGAUGACGAAGCACGGCUAACUACGUGCCGCGCAGCCCCGGAAUAAA
rnacentral:rRNA from 1 species